UACGAAGGGGGGCUAGCGUUGCUCGGAUUGACUGGGCGUAAAGGGCGCGUAGGCGGUUCGUACAGUCAGACGUGAAAUUCCUGGGCUCAACCUGGGGGGCUGCGUUUGAUACGUGCGGACUUGAGUGCGGAAGAGGGUCGUGGAAUUCCCAGUGUAGAGGUGAAAUUCGUAGAUAUUGGGAAGAACACCGGUGGCGAAGGCGGCGACCUGGUCCGAUACUGACGCUGAGGCGCGAAAGCGUGGGGAGCAAACAGG
rnacentral:rRNA from 1 species